GAUGAACGCUGGCGGCGUGCCUAACACAUGCAAGUCGAGCGAACGGACGAGAAGCUUGCUUCUCUGAUGUUAGCGGCGGACGUGUGAGUAACACGUGGAUAACCUACCUAUAAGACUGAGAUAACUUCGGGAAACCGGCGCUAAUACCGGAUGAUAUUUUGAACCGCAUGGUUCAAAAGUGAAAGACGGUCUUGCUGUCUCUUAUAGAUGGAUCCGGGCUGCAUUAGCUGGUUGGUAAGGUCACGACCUACCACGGCAACGAUGCGUAGGCGACCUGAGAGGGGGGUAGGCCACACGAGAGGGUGGACGGGGUCCAUGCUACUACGAGACGCAGCAGUAGGGUAUGGGACGCAAUAGGCGAGAGCCUUACGGAGCAGGGCGGCGUGAGUGAUAAAGAUCUUGGGAUCGUAAUGCUCUGUUAUGAGGGAUGAACAGAUGUGGAAUGAACUGUGCAGAGCUUGACGGUACCGGAUCAGGAAGCAACGGCUAACUACGUG
rnacentral:rRNA from 1 species